AGCAGCCGCGGUAAUUCCAGCUCCAAUAGCGUAUAUUAAAGUUGUUGCAGUUAAAAAGCUCGUAGUUGAAUUUCGGGAUCAAUGUUUCGGUCAUGCCGUUGGUAUGUACUGAUAUUAUUGAUUUCCCACCUUCUAAAGAACCGUAAUGCCAUUAAUUUGGUGUCACGGGGAAUUAGGACUGUUACCUUGAAAAAUUAGAGUGUUUAAAGCAGGCUCACGCUUGAAUACAUUAGCAUGGAAUAAUGAAAUAGGACAUCCGAUUCUAUUUUGUUGAUUUCUAGGAUCGAUGUAAUGAUUAAUAGGGAUAGUUGGGGGCAUUAGUAUUCAAUUGUCAGAGGUGAAAUUCUUGGAUUUAUUGAAGACUAACUACUGCGAAAGCAUUUGCCAAGGAUGUUUUCAUUAAUCAAGAACGAAAGUUAGGGGAUCGAAGACGAUCAGAUACCGUCGUAGUCUUAACCCAUAAACUAUGCCG
rnacentral:rRNA from 1 species